UAAAUUUUGGCUGUUACGCCCUUUUCAAAUGUUGGUCUAGAUUUAGUAACAUGUCAAUAACUAAUUUCAGAGGUUGAUUUUCGAAAUGUGUGGUUUGGUGAACUGCUCAACUUUGUCUGAUAUUACGUUCCUCAAAAUCUAAUAAUUACAGAGUUUUCUCCAAUAUCUCUUAAUAUACUAAAUGAUAACAACAAUUCAAUCAUUCACUAAAAGCUCUAGCAACUAGCGCUUCAACUCCGUAAUUAGUGCAAUUUAAAAAACGAACUUUUAGGCAGAUAAAACAAAUAGUGCUUAAAGUCUACAAUACAACACGUUUCGAAAGCCUCUCAAAUGAGUUAUUGACAUACUACUAAAUGAUCGAACUCGGAUUUAUUAAAUGAUCGAAACCAUCCUCGAUUUUAUAUUUUGUUUUGUAUUACCAACUAGUAGAACCCGCCCAAUUUUGCUCGGGUUUGUUUUUUUUGCGUUCAAACUGUCAAUAGAUGAGCUCAUUGCAGCACCACACUUUAGAUCGACAUCAGUGCAAGCAGACCGUUGCAUUUUAAUGAUUAUUCUGCUUUCCCAACAACAUUUUUCGAUUUUCCAUACAUAACACAGCUGAUCGCAAGACGAAUCGAUCAGUGAGGAAAUUUUGAAAAUAGGUCCAUUCGUUCGUGAGUUAUAAUGCCUCAAAUAAAAAGCAAACUCAUUUUUAUAUAUAGAGAAGAUUUGAAAUUUCAAUUAAUUUUUGUCUUAUCUUCCGUAAAAGUCUAUUUUUUUUCGGUAUAAAAAAGCGAAGGCCGCAAUGGAUAGGAGGCAAUUACCAGAGCAGCCCGGCAAUGGGGGCAGUUCCUUCAUCUGUGGUGCCACCUGAAAAGUCUCGAGAAAAAGUAGAAUCAAGGAAAUUUGACAUGGCAUAAUAUACAAAUCGGUGAUUAAAAUGCCUCUAGAAAGUUAUAUUUUUUUUGCAAAACAUAUAAAAAUCAAGAUAUCAUGCCCUUGUCAUAAGACGAGUUAAUACAAUCCCAUUGAAUUCCACCACUUAAUUGUAUCUUGACAGAUACGUAUUUCGACCUCAACAGUAAGGCCGUCUUCAGUGUCUCGUACUUGACUCGACCACACCGUGUGAAAUUCCAAUUAUUCUACUUUUUCUCUUGAUGACAGCUGUAUGAUUGUUGUAAAUUUGCACGAGUAAUUACUUAAAUUUCCCCACCAAAAAUCCUUCCAGUUUCCAUAAAAAAAUCUUCGUAAUUUCUGCAAGAAAGCCUUCGUAAUUUUAAUGAAAAUUUAUCCGAAGUUUUUACGAGAAAUUCACCGAAAUUUCCACUGGAAAUUCCCCGGAAAUUCAACGGAAAAUUAACAAUUCCUGGGAAUGUCCACAUGAAAUUUGAAUUUUAGAAAUUUCAUCAAGAAAUUGCUCAAAAUUUGCAAGGAUUUCGUUGGAAUCUAUUCUAAAAUUCCACGGAAAUAUUUCGGAAUGUUCACUAAAAUUUAAAAUCAGCUAGAACAAUUAUUCUUAAUUUUCACGCAAAUUCACUUGGAACAUUAAUUUGAAAACAUUUGGAAUUUUGAAGGAAAUUGUUUGGAUUUAAACGUAUGAUUAUACUUUUUCAAAAGUUCUAUGAAUUUUCAAUGGAAUAUUGCAUGGAAUUUUCAAGAAAAGAAUCAGAAUUUUCGCGGAAUACAUCAAUCAGUGAAUUCAACCAAAUUCCGGUGCAAAAAUGUCGGUGGCGCACAGCUCCAGGAGGAAUCGAAUACAACGGAAAUUCCAUUAGUUGGUUUCCAGAUCUGGUUUCAGCAGACCUGGAUAGAGGUUCAAAUUUGAUUUUGUUUUAUAUUGAUUUUUGUUGGAUUAUGUUAAGUUUGGUUUAGUUCUGUUGUACAAUAAUUCUAUAUUAAAAUGGGUUUGAAUCAUUGAAUUACUCAACACGUGAUUGAUUUCCAUUUUAUUUUGAUGGCAUAUGAUAUUUACUGACACUUGCAGCACACAUGUUGCAGAGAAGUUACAGUUACAACUUAUAUGCAACCAAAUUUGGUCACAUUUGAGUUCAUGCAACCAAAUAUAGUGGGUUAAGUCCACUCCGAGAAUCCCCAUAUAUUAGGCAACGGACAGCACAAUCAUUACCAUCUUGCGUCACAAAAGGCAACUAACGUCUGGAUAGCCAAGGGGUGUGAUAAUCGGAAAAGUUACAAUAGUGUAACAAUUUUUCAUAGUUUGAAUUACAUUUUUCAAAGUUAUAUUUUCAAGCUCAGAUGUCAAAAUGAACCCAUAUGAUGAUUUCUAGCACAUCAUUUAAACAUGUAAUACUGCAUAUUGCAUUAUACGUUUGGACACCCUCGACAUGUCUUUUCACUACACUGCUUGCCUUUUUUUGACACCGCGGCGCUACUGUGUUGUCUUUCGAAAUCAGCCAGAGUGGACUAUAUUGGCAAUAGAGUAUAUUUGAUGUGUAGUGCUACUCGGGUCAACUCCGAAGCCCCAUUACUGCAGGAGAUUGAAGCAGCCAUCCAAUGCAUGAAAUUCAACAAAACUCCAGGCGGGCGAUCGCAUAUCGGCAGAGAUGUUUAAAGCUUACCCCAUGUUAUCAACCAUGCUGAAAUAUCUGGGACACUGUGACUUUUCUGGCUGACUGCCUUAGUGAAGGUCCCAAAAAAGAGCAUCUAACUUUAUGCGUCAACUGGCAAUAAGGUGUAUCUUGUUACUGUGCAUUGUUCUCAAAAUUAAGUGAAAAGUUAUCCUAAAUCAGAUACAGGAUAAGAUAGAUACUUGUUUCCGAAAGCAACAGGCAGGAUUCCAUCCCGGAAGAUCGUGUGUGAAACAUGUGGUCACGCACCGUAUUAUCCUGGAGCAAGUCUAAUAAUUCCAAUAGUUCUUUUAUUUGGUAUUCCAUAACUAUACGGAAACACUUUCGAUCGCCUUGACCACGAAAAUCUGUGAAACCCCAUAGUUGUCCUCAUCGAAGCGCAGUACGAAGCUUUCACGUGCAGAGUCCUGAAUAACGGAGCUCUGACCUCAUCCAGAUAGUCGCUGGAAUGAGGCGAGGAUGUCAUUUAUCUCCUUUGCCUCAACGUAAUUAUGUUCCUUCUGUUUUUCAUCGUAGUUACGAAAGCAGCCUAUUACUAUAGAGCACCUGAACGACUUCGAUUAGCACAACAGCGUUCUGGUACGCGUAGUAAAGCUGAAUGACCUGGCCGACGUCUUUUUUAAGGCGGGUCUCACGAUCAACGGCAACAAGACCAAAUCGUUGGAUAUCAACACGAACCUCUCCUCUAACUUUACGAUAGUCUGAUAAGUAGUGGAGGCAUUCUCUUGGCAUCUUGUUAACGUUGGACGGUGGAGCCUAGAUUGACAUAUAAGUAUAAGAGUAACAAGGAUCAAAAAGGUUUUUGCGAGUUUACGAAAUAUGAGGAGAUUCAAUCAGAUUAGUCAAUGCACUAGAUUUCGAAUAUUUAACUUUAGCGUGAUAUCUGUGUUGCUAUACGCCAGCAAAAAUUGGUGUGUAUCAGUAGCGAUCACGCAGAAACUGCAGCUAUUCAUUAACCGAUGCCUACGUUUUACAAUGCAGGUCUGGUGGCCUCACAACUGGAUUUCCAAUGCUGAUCUUCAUAGACAAUGUUUUUCAAAAUCGAUAGCAACAGGAACUUGAGAGCGUAAAUGGAGGUGGGUCAGCCUACCAUUACGAAAUCUCCAAGCAAGCGCUGGACUAGGGUUCAUCAGGACACCAAAGCAGAUGCAGAUUUAGAGGGUCGUGGCGACAAAGCCUCAUCAAAAAAUUAAGGUAAAGUCAAUAGGAAUCUGAUCUAGGCUCAGGUUAAAGCAAAAGUAUGCAGCCGUCUAGGAUGGAGCAUUUUUACGUUGGCCCUAUGUACUCGUAGGAAUGCUCAGGACCCUUGAGUGAAUGAGUGAGUAUAUAAGAAGUUUUGUUAUUGAAUGUUAACUAAAAAUGGUAGGCUUUCAGCUACUCCAUACAUAUAUUGCUUGCUAGUUCGUUUACGAAUCACAAUGCUUUGAAAAUGAAAGUUCAAUCUCAUUUUAUUUGAGCGGAGCUUUGUCUGUCUGUAUAACAUUGCUUGACGUUCUUGGAUUAGCUGACAAAACCGAUAAAUUCUUAUGAUGUUUUAUCAUUUACAGAUGUCUUACCAGUAUCAUAAAAACACAAGAUAACUUAAAGAAGAAGUUGUGUGAUAUUACAGGGCAGUCUGCGUUACAUAUAAUACAAGAAAAAGUUCAAUUAUAAUUCUUUAUUCGAAUAAAAACAUAACAAGUCAAGCCAGAACGUUCAUAUAAAAAGAAAAUAAAUGAAUAAUAUAAACAACAGAAGCAUUUGAAAUAAUCAAAUUGUAAAACAUAUGCUGCAACAAAAAAAUGAUAUAAUACAAAACGAAUAUAACAUUUUAAUUGCUCUAUCGAAUUAUCGCUUUACUAAGCUGAUCUCCAUCGAUCGUACCACGUUCGUUCCUUAAUUCCUAAUGACUAGCGUGUUUUCCUUAAACUCAAAAAAAGCCAAAACAGACCGUGAUGGCAAAACGAUAACUUAAAUUCCACCGUAUGCGGACGUUUGUGUGUUUGUGAACCGUUGUUGGUUCCUCGGCGUGUGUAAUCUAACGACGCAUUCGCUACUUAAUUUGUUGUGUAUUGGUUCACUUACUUACGCUUAUUACCUAGCACUGUUUUUUCUUGCUUCCGUAGUUUUUUAGAUUUUUUUUACACAUUUAUAUAUAGCAUGCUAAUAUGAUGUAUUUCUCUUUUUUCCUGGGUUGUUACAAUCUAAUCGAUUUCGGCUGUUUCUUCAGUGUUGUGAUCGCUUUUUACACUUGUUGUCCUGUUUCAUUGUAUAUAUAAUGUCUUUGAAUCGAAAAUAUUUAAAAAGCACAUUUCUGUUAUAUUUCAAUGUUAACAUAGUUUUAAAUUUACUUUUCAUUUAAUAUACAAGUGUUACCAACGUUUUUGUUUACUUUUAUUCUUUAAUUUAAUUAAAUCACAGAUAUAAGCCAUCAUUUUUAUGUUCUUCCUCUUUAUAUUCAUAUUGUUUUUUGGUUUUGUUUUUUUUUCUUUGAAAAUUUUUCUUAUAUAUCUUUUGCUAUAAACGAGCAUACUCUAGUUUUUGUAUUUCUUUGUUGUUUUCGAAAAAGAGAGACAGCGAAGAA